GAUUGUAUGUAUGUAUGUUAGUGAGUGUCUGCCUGUGUGUUUGACUGUCAUACAUACACUCACUCACUGACAGACACACACACAGGCAAACACUCACUGACAGACACA